rnacentral:rRNA from 1 species
CUUGGUCAUUUAGAGGAAGUAAAAGUCGUAACAAGGUUUCCGUAGGUGAACCUGCGGAAGGAUCAUUAUUGAAUAAACUUGGUUGGGUUGUUGCUGGCUUUUCGGAGCAUGUGCACGCCUAGCGCCAUUUUUACCACCUGUGCACUUCUUGUAGAUUUGAAACACCUCUCGAGGCAACUCGGUUUGAGGAUUGCUGUGCGAAAGCCCGGCUUUCCUUGCGUUUCAAGUCUAUGUUUUUACAUACCCCAUAAGAAUGUUUUAGAAUGUCAUUAAUGGGCUUGACAGCCUCUAAAUUAAUACAACUUUCAACAACGGAUCUCUUGGCUCUCGCAUCGAUGAAGAACGCAGCGAAAUGCGAUAAGUAAUGUGAAUUGCAGAAUUCAGUGAAUCAUCGAAUCUUUGAACGCACCUUGCGCUCCUUGGUAUUCCGAGGAGCAUGCCUGUUUGAGUGUCAUUAAAUUCUCAACCCUUUCAGCUUUUGCGAGUUGGAUUGGCUUGGAUGUGGGGGUUUGCGGGCUUCUCAGAAGUCGGCUCCUCUUAAAUGCAUUAGCGGAACCUUUGUGGACCAGCUUUGGUGUGAUAAUUAUCUACRCCAUGGUUGUGAAGCAGCUUUACAUGGGGUUCAGCUUCUAACCGUCCAUUGACUUGGACAACUUAUGACAUUUUGACCUCAAAUCAG